CGCCUUUGUUUUCUCAUUGGCAUCCUGUUUGUUUUGGACUAGUCCCCUCGCCCGCUGGACAAGAGCCAGGGGGAGUUUUUAUGUGUGUGGGCUGGUUUUUCCACCAACAUCGCUUCUCAAAGCCUCCUCAGACAGAGCCAGAAACGAUAAGCUCGCAAUGACGACAGAGAAGCUGCUCUCUGCGUUUGUUGCCUCCGAGUAUGUGUUCUCUGACCUCCAGCUUUUUCAAGAUCUGCUCCGCAAGGACGUCUUCAACCCCCGUCGUCUCGGUGGAUUAGAGCAGGGGAUGUUGGUCUUGGGCUGAGUACUUAAGGAAAUCUUGCAAGAAGAAUAGGGAGAUUCAGCAGCCUGAAUGAGCCCAUAGUAUGAAGAGUGUCCACACACUAUGUACUUUUCUAAAAGUCAGCGCCCAGCACGGAUCAGCUCUAGGCAUGAUGAAGCAGAUAUCGUCCUCUUUUGGAAGGCCAAACAAAGUAGUUUCGCUUUCACAGUGAAACACACAGCGUCUAUAUGACAUGGCGGUGGUGGUAACAAAAAUACUACAACAAGAAUAAAAGGUCACCCCAGACAGUGAUAAUGAC
ensembl:lncRNA